UGGGGAAUAUUGCACAAUGGGCGCAAGCUUGAUGCAGCCAUGCCGCGUGUAUGAAGAAGGCCUUCGGGUUGUAAAGUACUUUCAGCGGGGAGGAAGGGAGUAAAGUUAAUACCUUUGCUCAUUGACGUUACCCGCAGAAGAAGCACCGGCUAACUCCGUGCCAGCAGCCGCGGUAAUACGGAGGGUGCAAGCGUUAAUCGGAAUUACUGGGCGUAAAGCGCACGCAGGCGGUUUGUUAAGUCAGAUGUGAAAUCCCCGGGCUCAACCUGGGAACUGCAUCUGAUACUGGCAAGCUUGAGUCUCGUAGAGGGGGGUAGAAUUCCAGGUGUAGCGGUGAAAUGCGUAUAGCUCUGGAGGAAUACCGGUGGCGAAGACGACCCCCUGGACGAAGACUGACGCUCAGGUGCGAAAGCGUGGGGAGCAAACAGG
rnacentral:rRNA from 1 species